UACGAAGGGGGCUAGCGUUGCUCGGAAUGACUGGGCGUAAAGGGCGCGUAGGCGGACGGCUUUGUCGGGCGUGAAAUUCCAGGGCUUAACCUUGGGGCUGCGUUCGAGACAGGUUGUCUAGAGUUUGGAAGAGGGUCGUGGAAUUCCCAGUGUAGAGGUGAAAUUCGUAGAUAUUGGGAAGAACACCGGUGGCGAAGGCGGCGACC
rnacentral:rRNA from 1 species